rnacentral:rRNA from 1 species
AUUGAACGCUGGCGGCAGGCCUAACACAUGCAAGUCGAGCGAGCGGCGGACGGGUGAGUAAUGUCUGGGAAACUGCCUGAUGGAGGGGGAUAACUACUGGAAACGGUAGCUAAUACCGCAUACCAUCAGAUGGGCCCAGAUGGGAUUAGCUAGUAGGUGGGGUAACGGCGCACCUAGGCGACGAUCCCUAGCUGGUCUGCGAGGAUGACCAGCCACACUGGAAUGUAGACACGGUCCAGACUCCUACGGAAGUCAGCAGUGGGGAAUAUUGGACAAUGGGCGCAAGCCUGAUGCACCCAUGCCGCGUGGGUGAAGAAGGCCUUGGGGUUGUAAAGCACUUUCAGCGGGGAGGCGUUACCCGCAGAAGAAGCACCGGCUAACUCCGUGCCAGCCGCCGCGGUAAUAC